UAGAUGUAUACAUUUGUAAUAUACUAUUAACAUAAUAAGGUACACUUUAACUUCACUAUAGUCAAGCAUUGGAUAAACCAAUUAACUGUGUUUUACCACAAAAUAACCAUGGUUUUGCUAAUAAUAAUCAAUACACCAAAAAAACAUGGUUACUAAACUUUUACCACAAAAAAAAAACAUUCAUUUUCGUAAGGGGAAUAUGAGUGUUUGCUUUUUUUGUAGUUUUUGAGUCAAUUGCAUACCGCUUUAAGCUGUACACAUUAAUUAACUUAAACAGUUUUCGUAAAUGCAUUUCAGAGAAAAGUGAAUUCUGAGAUUUGAAUAAUGCAUCUGACGUGUGGGAUGACGUCACGACGCACGUAUUUUGAUUUUUACCAGUCGUUCAAGACAGACGGAUUCAGUCCCAAGAACCUAAAGUUUUUCAAAGACUUUUGUAGGGAGGACUUUGCAGCUAAUGAUUUCCUAAGGCUGAACCAAAAUCUGCCAGACUAAAGUUGAUUUGGGAGAGAAAGAUGUUGUAAACUUAAACAUCUUGACAUUCUUCAAUGAGUAAUUGUUCAAUUUUUAGGCAAACACUGUACACUUUGAAUGCUGUGAAUAAAACUAUAUUUUAAAUACAUUUAAAAUGAAUUGUUUUUGACUGUUUUAAUCAGCUUUUAUUUAUUUGGAAAAAAAUUAUUUUGGUUAUGUUACCAGCAAGUAAUCUAUUCCCAAAAUAGCACUCUUUAAGUUAACUAAUUAUUAACGCACUUGAAGUAUACUCAUUACUAAUCUAGCUGCAGGUAUGUAAAAGUAUACAAAAUGUAAUGUACUUGGCAUAUUCAUUUUUCACCAGGGCAGUUUUUAGAAUUUUGGAUUGGCCAAAAAUAUAUAGAAUGUAUGCAAACAGUCUAUUUAAGGUAUACUAAUGGUAUGUUUGCAAGACACUCAUAAUACAUUUGUAAUGUACUCCUAACAUAAAUAAAACACACUCUAAAUCCACUUAUCAAGCAUGAAUUUAGCACAAAAACAGUCAUGUACUUAAAUUGUACUAAAUACACUUAAAGUUGUUCCACUUUAGCACACAAAAGUACACUAAAUACACUUAAAGUUGUACUUUGUUACAAUUAAUAUACAACUAAAAUAUAUUAAGUACAAAAUUAGUUGUUCCAAAAUAGCACUCUUUAAAUAAACUAAUCAAUAGCACACUUUAAGUAUACUGGUCAUUAGUGCGACUGCAAGUAUACUUAAGUA